rnacentral:rRNA from 1 species
UUGCCUCUCGAGAACGCGACCGGCGCACGAGUAACGUAAAAUCCGCCGAGGAGCUGCCUCCUCGGUUCCACCGGCCACGAACGUGCUCUCCCCUGGGGGCGCACCGGGCGUGGUUCCGGAAUACGGCGUGGGACGACGCCAAGGAACACGUACUUGCCGAGCAGACGGCGGUGCUCUCGCAUCGUGCGGUCUGUCGAGGCCAAAGCAAUAGAUUGAGAUGACUCCCGGCAACGGAUAUCUCGGCUCUCGCAUCGAUGAAGAACGUAGCGAAAUGCGAUACAUGGUGUGAAUUGCAGAAUCCCGUGAACCAUCGAGUCUUUGAACGCAAGUUGCGCCCGAGGGACCAUCCCGAGGGCACGCCUGCCUCACGGGCGUUAGAAGCCCAUUCCACGCUCGGCGCAGCUUCAUCGCAGCGUGCGCCGAUGCGGACAUUGGCCCUCCGAGCCGCGAGGCACGGCGGGCACAAGUGUAGGGCCAUCGGUUGAGGCCGGGGGCAGCGAGUGGUGGGCUACUGCGCACGCUGCCUCCGGUUCGAAUGCCGCUAGGGGGCCUAGUUUGACCCCCGAAACGAUGUUCUGCCGUCGCGUGCGGCAGCUUCGGACCGAU